rnacentral:lncRNA from 1 species
GCUUUCUGUGCUUCCAAGUGCAGGAGCUGCUGCAAUGAGGGGUAUCAACAAAAAGGAGUUGGUGCCCAUUGUGGAUUGCUGCCAACCAACAUCUUAUAUAGGCUGAAAAUCUUUGAGUAAUAAACAUCUCAAUGUGGUAUGUUGGCAAAAGAGAAGACCCGAGACUGUCACAGAAAGUGAAAGAUGAAGCCUCUUGUUUUCUUGGUUCUUGUGAUCUGUACUGUAGUCAGCAUGAAUUUGAAGUUCGUGUCAAAGAGAAAUUCUGGGGCAGGGAGGAUCUAAAGAGAGCUGACUUGAAGAGGAGCAAGGAGAAGGUGAGCUGGUGUUGUCAGGUAAUACAAAGGCAUCGCUCAACCAAGGCAGUCAAAAUGGGGGCAGAAUGUCCAGAAGGGCUUUAUAGGUGAAACUGGAGUUGACUUGGAGAGAAAAGGUUUGGCUAGGAAAGCAUCUUCAGGGGCUGGUGCAGAA